UCUCGGCUCUGUUAAAUUAUUCUUUAUUCAACAGAGAAGAAUGCGACUUUUGCAAUGGAGAAAUCGAGGACUACCCAUUUAUCCCUUUUUCUAAAUUUUGAAUCUUUGAUGAGGAUACAUGCCGUUCUGUCUUGGCAGCCACAAGCACAUGCUUUACAAGGAGUGACUUUUGAGUUAUAGAAAGAUGACAUGGAGACACAGCAGGUUGGCGUUUCAGAAGCAAGAAACUGUGAAUAAGAGCAUGUCACAUUCCAAGUCACUGCAAAAAACAAGGGAGUUUGACGAUGGCAGCAAUAACUAUGUGGAAAAUAGUCUUGUAGGUAUCUCAUGAAUCCUCCCUAUCUUUGGAGUUUUGAACAGUAAGACAUGUAAGUGAACAUAAAAUAUGGAUAUCUUUUAUUAUAGUUUGGUGUAGUUAUGAUA